GCUAAACGCGAAGAACCUUACCCACCUUUGACAUGUACGGAAUCCUUUAGAGAUAGAGGAGUGCUCGAAAGAGAGCCGUAACACAGGUGCUGCAUGGCUGUCGUCAGCUCGUGUCGUGAGAUGUUGGGUUAAGUCCCGCAACGAGCGCAACCCUUGUCCUUAGUUGCCAUCAUUAAGUUGGGAACUCUAAGGAGACCGCCGGUGACAAACCGGAGGAAGGUGGGGAUGACGUCAAGUCAUCAUGGCCUUUAUGGCCAGGGCUACACACGUGCUACAAUGGCAGGUACAGAGGGAAGCCAACCGGCGACGGGGAGCUAAUCCCAGAAAGCCUGUCUUAGUCCGGAUUGCAGUCUGCAACUCGACUGCAUGAAGUUGGAAUCGCUAGUAAUCGCAGAUCAGCAUUGCUGCGGUGAAUACGUUCCCGGGUCUUGUACACACCG
rnacentral:rRNA from 1 species